UUGGAUUGGCUACAUGGAUCAAAUGGCGUCAUAAUCAUGUUCUAAAUAUUUGUUGAUCUGCAAUGGAAAAAUCACACAUAUAGCAGAAUCAUGAGGGAUAUUGAUUUAGGCUUGGUGUAUCGUAAGCAUGGAAUGUUAUGGUUCAGACUUCAGAGUUCAACAUACUUAAGAUACGGUUUUCUUGCUGAUUGGUGAUGUUGAAUUCUGUAAAUCAUCAAAACUAAUCAUACGAAAUUUGGUAUAUUUCUUCCUUGUCAAAGUUUUGAUCUUUCAAGGCCAUCUGUUUUUGCCCUGCUGGUGUGGCUGCAAAGUAAUAUGCCUUAAUGCUGGUCAUAAUCUGGUUGAUGAUCUUCAGGUUUAGGAGCUGAGUUGUAUGCUUAGUGUGAAGUAACUUUCGGGAGUUUUACUGCUGAUGAUCUUCAGGUUUAGGAGCUGAGUUGUAUGCUUAGUGCGAAGUAACUUUCGGGAGUUUUCAGCAGUACUAGUAUAGUUUUUUGGACAUUUUCGGGGGUAUGAUUUGAAUUAUAUAGUUCCAGUUUUGUUAUUUUUGUGGAUGAGAAGCAUAAUAAUCUCUUCUUGCAUAAAACUUUUUUGGGAGCUGUACAUAGGAAUAUCUUGUGUUAGGUUAUGUCCCUUCUAUUCAAAAUUCUUUUUUCCUAUAAAAAUCUCCUGAAUUUCUUCGGCAUGGAGUUGUUUAUGUAUGUUCAUGUGUGUGUAAUGUUUGUGUUAAUUCCGAUGCCAAGUUUAAUAUGAUCGAAAG
rnacentral:lncRNA from 1 species